rnacentral:rRNA from 1 species
CGCGCCUACCAUGCAAGGUCGAACGAACUCUUCGGAGUUAGUGGCGGACGGGUGAGUAACACGUGGGAACGUGCCUUUAGGUUCGGAAUAACUCAGGGAAACUUGUGCUAAUACCGAAUGUGCCCUUCGGGGGAAAGAUUUAUCGCCUUUAGAGCGGCCCGCGUCUGAUUAGCUAGUUGGUGAGGUAAAGGCUCACCAAGGCGACGAUCAGUAGCUGGUCUGAGAGGAUGAUCAGCCACAUUGGGACUGAGACACGGCCCAAACUCCUACGGGAGGCAGCAGUGGGGAAUCUUGCGCAAUGGGCGAAAGCCUGACGCAGCCAUGCCGCGUGAAUGAUGAAGGUCUUAGGAUUGUAAAAUUCUUUCACCGGGGACGAUAAUGACGGUACCCGGAGAAGAAGCCCCGGCUAACUUCGUGCCAGCCGCCGCG